rnacentral:rRNA from 1 species
AGAGUUUGAUCAUGGCUCAGGACGAACGCUGGCGGCGCGCCUAACACAUGCAAGUCGAACGAGCGAGAGAGAGCUUGCUUUCUCGAGCGAGUGGCGAACGGGUGAGUAACGCGUGAGGAACCUGCCUCAAAGAGGGGGACAACAGUUGGAAACUACUGCUAAUACCGCAUAAGCCCACGGCUCGGCAUCGAGCAGAGGGAAAAGGAGCAAUCCGCUUUGAGAUGGCCUCGCGUCCGAUUAGCUAGUUGGUGAGGUAAUGGCCCACCAAGGCGACGAUCGGUAGCCGGACUGAGAGGUUGAACGGCCACAUUGGGACUGAGACACGGCCCAGACUCCUACGGGAGGCAGCAGUGGGGAAUAUUGCACAAUGGGGGAAACCCUGAUGCAGCGACGCCGCGUGGAGGAAGAAGGUCUUCGGAUUGUAAACUCCUGUUGUUGAGGAAGAUAAUGACGGUACUCAACAAGGAAGUGACGGCUAACUACGUGCCAGCAGCCGCGGUAAAACGUAGGUCACAAGCGUUGUCCGGAAUUACUGGGUGUAAAGGGAGCGCAGGCGGGAAGACAAGUUGGAAGUGAAAUCCAUGGGCUUAACCCAUGAACUGCUUUCAAAACUGUUUUUCUUGAGUAGUGCAGAGGUAGGCGGAAUUCCCGGUGUAGCGGUGGAAUGCGUAGAUAUCGGGAGGAACACCAGUGGCGAAGGCGGCCUACUGGGCACCAACUGACGCUGAGGCUCGAAAGUGUGGGUAGCAAACAGGAUUAGAUACCCUGGUAGUCCACACUGUAAACGAUGAUUACUAGGUGUUGGAGGAUUGACCCCUUCAGUGCCGCAGUUAACACAAUAAGUAAUCCACCUGGGGAGUACGACCGCAAGGUUGAAACUCAAAGGAAUUGACGGGGGCCCGCACAAGCAGUGGAGUAUGUGGUUUAAUUCGACGCAACGCGAAGAACCUUACCAAGUCUUGGCAUCCUGCGACGCACAUAAAAAUAUGUGUUUCCUUCGGAACAUCGGUGACAGGUGGUGCAUGGUUGUCGUCAGCUCGUGUCGUGAGAUGUUGGGUUAAGUCCCGCAACGAGCGCAACCCCUAUCUUCAGUAGCCAGCAGGUUAGGCUGGGCACUCUGGAGAGACUGCCAGGGAUAACCUGGAGGAAGGUGGGGAUGACGUCAAAUCAUCAUGCCCCUUAUGACCAGGGCUACACACGUGCUACAAUGGCGUAAACAAAGAGAAGCGAACUCGCGAGGGUAAGCAAAUCUCAAAAAUAACGUCUCAGUUCGGAUUGUAGUCUGCAACUCGACUACAUGAAGCUGGAAUCGCUAGUAAUCGCAGAUCAGAAUGCUGCGGUGAAUACGUUCCCGGGUCUUGUACACACCGCCCGUCACACCAUGGGAGUCAGUAACGCCCGAAGUCAGUGACCCAACCGUAAGGAGGGAGCUGCCGAAGGUGGGACCGAUAACUGGGGUGAAGUCGUAACAAGGUA